rnacentral:rRNA from 1 species
AUGAACGCUGGCGGCGUGCCUCAUACCUGCAAGUCGAGCGAACAGACGAGGAGCUUGCUCCUCUGACGUUAGCGGCGGACGGGUGAGUAACACGUGGAUAACCUACCUAUAAGACUGGGAUAACUUCGGGAAACCGGAGCUAAUACCGGAUAAUAUAUUGAACCGCAUGGUUCAAUAGUGAAAGACGGUUUUGCUGUCACUUAUAGAUGGAUCCGCGCCGCAUUAGCUAGUUGGUAAGGUAACGGCUUACCAAGGCAACGAUGCGUAGCCGACCUGAGAGGGUGAUCGGCCACACGGGAACUGAGACACGGUCCAGACUCCUACGGGAGGCAGCAGUAGGGAAUCUUCCGCAAUGGGCGAAAGCCUGACGGAGCAACGCCGCGUGAGUGAUGAAGGUCUUCGGAUCGUAAAACUCUGUUAUUAGGGAAGAACAAAUGUGUAAGUAACUAUGCACGUCUUGACGGUACCUAAUCAGAAAGCCACGGCUAACUACGUG